rfam:Stegodyphus mimosarum contig126222, whole genome shotgun sequence.
GUACUCAUGGUGUACAGGUUAUCACAUCCGCCUAACACGAGGAAGGUCCCAAGUUCGAAACCUGAUGGGUACA